rnacentral:lncRNA from 1 species
UGCACAGAAUCACUUGAAUACUAGGAAUUGUGAUGACAUUGAAGUGGAAUCGCAGGCACAAUGGACAUGGUGAAAAGCACACAAGGCAAACCCUGCCCAGCUGAUUGUGCUUAGCCUAACAUGCAAAAGAGGCACUUCCCAAGCUUGCCAGUACCCCAGGAGGUAUUAAGGCUUUCUCUGAAACCUAGUCAUAUUGAGGGCAGCCCGGCUCAACUUGGAAAGCUCUGAGGAGUUCUGUGAAAGAUUUUGCCAGUGUUUACAAAGGUUAGGAUCCCUUGCAUCCUCACCAGUCUUUACAUUUGCCCAAGAAUCAGAUUCAGUUUAGCCCAGCAUUCUUCACAAAGAUAAAAGGGUGACAGACCUGACACAUUUGUGCUUUUCAAAACCAGAGAAGCUGAUUCCACAUGAAAACCCUAUCCUGAAACAGCAUCCAAACUGAAACUGUACCAGUGUUGGUAAAAAAAAAUAGGAGCCAGAUAUUGAAACUACAUAUAGUGAUGUACUUCAGCAAUCUCUCUUAUACUAUAACAAGAAAUGCUGCCGUAGACUUAUUUUACAGUUUUUAACUUCUGAAAGUUUGCUUUCAGAAAAAUCUCAUUUCUUUGUGAUCAAAAGUCCUCAUUUAUGUCUUAGGUGACAACUGGU